UGAGGAAUAUUGGACAAUGGGCGCAAGCCUGAUCCAGCCAUGCCGCGUGCAGGAAGAAGCAUCUAUGGUGUGUAGACUGCUUUUGUACGGGAAGAAACACUCCUUCGUGAAGGAGCUUGACGGUACCGUAAGAAUAAGGAUCGGCUCACUCCGUGCCAGCAGCCGCGGUAAUACGGAGGAUCCAAGCGCUAUCCGGAAUCAUUGGGUUUAAAGGGUCCGUAGGCGGUUUAGUAAGUCAGUGGUGAAAGCCCAUCGCUCAACGAUGGAACGGCCAUUGAUACUGCUAGACUUGAAUUAUUAGGAAGUAACUAGAAUAUGUGGUGUAGCGGUGAAAUGCUUAGAUAGUGCAUGGAAUACCAAUUGCGAAGGCAGGUUACUACUAAUGGAUUGACGCUGAUGGACGAAAGCGUGGGGAGCGAACA
rnacentral:rRNA from 1 species